AUGCUCACUUUGGCAGCACAUAUACUAAAAUUGGAACAAUAUAGAGACAAGAUUAGCAUGCACCCUGUGCAAGGAUGACAUGAAAAUUCACAGUGUUCCCUAAAAAA
rnacentral:snRNA from 1 species